ensembl:lncRNA
GUCACGUGACACCAACGGGGGAGGGGGCGCUGUGACAGCGUCACGUGACACCGCCGGGGACACCAAUGUGCGACGAGGUCACGUGACACCGCCCGGGAACAGCGCUGUGACAGCGUCACGUGACACCGCCGGGGCACACGGAUGCCUGAUGAGGUCACGUGACACCACCGGGUUUUUUGGGGGGGGGGGGGGGGGGGCGGCACUGUGACAACGUCACGUGACACCGCCGGGGACACCGAUGUGCGAUGAGGUCACGUGAUACCGCCGGGGACACCAAUAUGCGAUGAGGUCACGUGACACCACCGAAGGGGGGGCGCUGUGACAGCGUCACGUGACUCCGCCGGGGACAUCAAUGUGUGAUGAGAUCACGUGACACCAACGGGGGAUACCAAUAUGCGAUGAGGUCACGUGACACCACCGGGUUUGGGGGGUGGGGGCUGUGACAGCGUCACGUGACACCGCCGGGGGGACCAACGUGUGAUAAAGUCACGUGAUACCGCCGGGGACACCAAUAUGCGAUGAGGUCACGUGACACCGCCGGGGGACACCAAUGUGUCACCUCCGGACGUCGCUGUGCCCCAUAGCGCUGUCACUGUGCCCCAUAGCGCUGUCACUGAGCCCCAUAGCGCUGCCACUGUGCCCCAUAGCGCUGUCACUGCGCCCCAUAGCGCCGCCACUGCGCCCCAUAGAGCCAUCCCUGUGCCCCAUAGCGCCAUCCCUGUGCCCCAUAGCGCCGGCACUGUGCCCCAUAGCGCUGCCACUGUGCCCCAUAGCGCUGGCACUGCGCCCCAUAGCGCUGCCACUGUGCCCCAUAGCACCACCGCUGUGCCCCAUAGAGCCAUCCCUGUGCCCCAUAGCACUGCCACUGCGCCCCAUAGCGCCGCCACUGUGCCCCAUAGAGCCAUCCCUGUGCCCCAUAGCGCUGCCGCUGUGCCCCAUAGAGCCAUCCCUGUGCCCCAUAGCGCUGUCCCUGUGCCCCAUAGAGCCAUCCCUGGGCCCCAUAGCGAGACCCCUGUGCCCCAUAGCGCUGUCACUGUGCCCCAUAGCGCUGCCACUGUGCCCCAUAGAGCCACCGCUGUGCCCCAUAGCGCUGCCACUGCGCCCCAUAGCACCACCGCUGUGCCCCAUAGAGCCAUCACUGUGCCCCAUAGUGCUGUCACUGCGCCCCAUAGUGCUGCCACUGUGCCCCAUAGCGCUGCCACUGUGCCCCAUAGCACCACCGCUGUGCCCCAUAGAGCCAUCCCUGUGCCCCAUAGCGCCGUCACUGUGCCCCAUAGCGCUGCCACUGUGCCCCAUAGCGCCGCCACUGUGCCCCAUAGCGCUGCCACUGUGCCCCAUAGCGCUGCCACUGUGCCCCAUAGCACCACCGCUGUGCCCCAUAGAGCCAUCCCUGUGCCCCAUAGAGCCACCGCUGUGCCCCAUAGAGCCAUCCCUGUGCCCCAUAGCACUGCCACUGCUCCCCAUAGCGCUGCCACUGUGCCCCAUAGAGCCAUCCCUGUGCCCCAUAGCGCCACCACUGGGCCCCAUAGUGCCACCAUUCUGCCCUACAGAGCCACCCCUGUGCCCCAUAGCACUGUCACUGCGCCCCAUAGCACUUUCACUGCGCCUCAUAGAGCCAUCCCUGUGCCCCAUAGCACUGCCACUGCGCCCCAUAGCGCCGCCACUGUGCCCCAUAGAGCCAUCCCUGUGCCCCAUAGCGCUGCCACUGUGCCCCAUAGAGCCAUCCCUGUGCCCCAUAGCGCUGCCGCUGUGCCCCAUAGAGCCAUCCCUGUGCCCCAUAGCGCUGUCCCUGUGCCCCAUAGAGCCAUCCCUGGGCCCCAUAGCGAGACCCCUGUGCCCUAUAGCGCUGUCACUGUGCCCCAUAGCGCUGCCACUGUGCCCCAUAGAGCCACCGCUGUGCCCCAUAGAGCCACCGCUGUGCCCCAUAGCGCUGCCACUGCGCCCCAUAGCACCACCGCUGUGCCCCAUAGCACCACCGCUGUGCCCCAUAGUGCUGUCACUGCGCCCCAUAGUGCUGCCACUGUGCCCCAUAGCGCUGCCACUGUGCCCCAUAGAGCCAUCCCUGUGCCCCAUAGCGCCGUCACUGUGCCCCAUAGCGCCGCCACUGCGCCCCAUAGCGCUGCCACUGUGCCCCAUAGCACCACCGCUGUGCCCCAUAGAGCCAUCCCUGUGCCCCAUAGCGCUGUCUCUGCGCCCCAUAGCACCACCGCUGUGCCCCAUAGCACCACCGCUGUGCCCCAUAGUGCUGUCACUGCGCCCCAUAGUGCUGCCACUGUGCCCCAUAGCGCUGCCACUGUGCCCCAUAGAGCCAUCCCUGUGCCCCAUAGCGCCGUCACUGUGCCCCAUAGCGCCAUCCCUGUGCCCCAUAGAACCACCGCUGUGCCCCAUAGCGCUGCCACUGCGCCCCAUAGCACCACCGCUGUGCCCCAUAGAGCCAUCCCUGUGCCCCAUAGUGCUGUCACUGCGCCCCAUAGUGCUGCCACUGUGCCCCAUAGCGCUGCCACUGUGCCCCAUAGCACCACCGCUGUGCCCCACAGAGCCAUCCCUGUGCCCCAUAGCGCCGUCACUGUGCCCCAUAGCGCUGCCACUGUGCCCCAUAGCACCACCGCUGUGCCCCAUAGAGCCAUCCCUGUGCCCCAUAGCGCUGUCUCUGCGCCCCAUAGC